AUUGAACGCUGGCGGCAUGCUUUACACAUGCAAGUCGAGCGGCAGCGCGGGGGCAACCCUGGCGGCGAGCGGCGAACGGGUGAGUAAUGCAUCGGAACGUAUCCUCGAGUGGGGGAUAACCCAGCGAAAGUUGGGCUAAUACCGCAUGAGCUCUGAGGAGGAAAGCGGGGGACCUGCGAGGGCCUCGCGCUGGAGGAGCGGCCGAUGUCCGAUUAGCUAGUUGGUGGGGUAAAGGCUUACCAAGGCGACGAUCGGUAGCUGGUCUGAGAGGAUGAUCAGCCACACUGGGACUGAGACACGGCCCAGACUCCUACGGGAGGCAGCAGUGGGGAAUUUUGGACAAUGGGGGCAACCCUGAUCCAGCAAUGCCGCGUGAGUGAAGAAGGCCUUCGGGUUGUAAAGCUCUUUCGGACGGAACGAAAUGGGCGGGACUAAUACUCCUGUCUGAUGACGGUACCGUAAGAAGAAGCACCGGCUAACUACGUG
rnacentral:rRNA from 1 species